rnacentral:lncRNA from 1 species
AAAAAUGUUACUUUCUAUUUUUCUUAUGAGUAAGUUUGAACAUCUUUUCAUAUAUUUAAGAGCCAUUUAUAUUUCCUUCUUAUGAAGUAUCUGUUAUAUCCUUUGCCUAUUUUGGGAGGUGGAGGUGUUUUAAAAACCACUUUUAGUCACUGUUUGUAAUAUGGAGAUCUACUCUUUGUAACAUGAGUUGCAGCAUUUUUUCUCUCGUUUAUCAUUUGUCUUUCAACUUUCCUUAUGAUGUUUUUGCUUUGUAGAGUUGAAUUUGUCAGUCUUUUUAUGACUUCUGAAUUUUGUCAUCAUUAGAAAAGCCUCCUCCACUCCAAGGUUAUGAAAGAAUUCUUGGCUUUACUACUUUUAUGGUUCCUGCUUUAGAUUUUGAUUUUUGAUCCAUUUUUUCUUGUAUAUGAUGUGAGGGAUAGGUCCAACUUUAUUUUUUUCUAAGUGAUUACUCAAUUGCCUCAACAUCAUUUGUGAGUAAUCUGCCUCUAUACUGUUUGCUUCUACCAAAAACAAGACUGAUUCAUCUACUUCUUUUUCACACUUUCUUUGCUGUGACUAAAUAUGAACACAAUCCUGUUUUCCUUCCUAUAGAACACCUUCUGAAGUGGUGAAGAUGUCUUUCACCAUGCUUCCUUUGUCUUCCUCAGCAACACUGGGAGCCUGGCAGUUAGCAAUGGAAUGAAUACAAGGCUGCUCAGAAGGCUGGCCAGGAGUUUUCAUGGAGCAAUAACUGGUUAAAAAGGAAACCUGAGUAUAAUCAAGUUCCUUUAAAGACUGUUCAAACCAGAGUUAUCCUCUGGCAGUCUCUGGUCACCACUAACCAGCUAUUAUUCUAGAAGCCGAAGGUAUGCUGCCUGCAUCCUGCACUCCAGAGGCAGUUCAGUUCAGUUGCUUUACUUUAUAC